rnacentral:rRNA from 1 species
GGUUAAGCGACUAAGCGUACACGGUGGAUGCCCUGGCAGUCAGAGGCGAUGAAGGACGUGCUAAUCUGCGAAAAGCGCCGGCGAGGUGAUAUGAACCUUUGACCCGGCGAUGUCCGAAUGGGGAAACCCAGUGUGUUCCGACACACUAUCGUUAACUGAAUACAUAGGUUAACGAGGCGAACCGGGGGAACUGAAACAUCUAAGUACCCCGAGGAAAAGAAAUCAACCGAGAUUCCCCCAGUAGCGGCGAGCGAACGGGGAGCAGCCCAGAGUCUGAAUCAGCUUGUGUGUUAGUGGAAGCGUCUGGAAAGUCGCACGGUACAGGGUGACAGUCCCGUACACGAAAAUGCACAGGUUGUGAACUCGAAGAGUAGGGCGGGACACGUGGUAUCCUGUCUGAAUAUGGGGGGACCAUCCUCCAAGGCUAAAUACUCCUGACUGACCGAUAGUGAACCAGUACCGUGAGGGAAAGGCGAAAAGAACCCCGGCGAGGGGAGUGAAAUAGAACCUGAAACCGUGUACGUACAAGCAGUGGGAGCACCUUCGGGUGUGACUGCGUACCUUUUGUAUAAUGGGUCAGCGACUUAUAUUCUGUAGCAAGGUUAACCGUAUAGGGGAGCCGAAGGGAAACCGAGUCUUAACUGGGCGUUAAGUUGCAGGGUAUAGACCCGAAACCCGGUGAUCUAGCCAUGGGCAGGUUGAAGGUUGGGUAACACUAACUGGAGGACCGAACCGACUAAUGUUGAAAAAUUAGCGGAUGACUUGUGGCUGGGGGUGAAAGGCCAAUCAAACCGGGAGAUAGCUGGUUCUCCCCGAAAGCUAUUUAGGUAGCGCCUCGUGAACUCAUCUUCGGGGGUAGAGCACUGUUUCGGCUAGGGGGCCAUCCCGGCUUACCAACCCGAUGCAAACUACGAAUACCGAAGAAUGUUAUCACGGGAGACACACGGCGGGUGCUAACGUCCGUCGUGAAGAGGGAAACAACCCAGACCGCCAGCUAAGGUCCCAAAGUCAUGGUUAAGUGGGAAACGAUGUGGGAAGGCACAGACAGCCAGGAUGUUGGCUUAGAAGCAGCCAUCAUUUAAAGAAAGCGUAAUAGCUCACUGGUCGAGUCGGCCUGCGCGGAAGAUGUAACGGGGCUAAACCAUGCACCGAAGCUGCGGCAGCGACACUAUGUGUUGUUGGGUAGGGGAGCGUUCUGUAAGCCGUUGAAGGUGUGCUGUGAGGCAUGCUGGAGGUAUCAGAAGUGCGAAUGCUGACAUAAGUAACGAUAAAGCGGGUGAAAAGCCCGCUCGCCGGAAGACCAAGGGUUCCUGUCCAACGUUAAUCGGGGCAGGGUGAGUCGACCCCUAAGGCGAGGCCGAAAGGCGUAGUCGAUGGGAAACAGGUUAAUAUUCCUGUACUUGGUGUUACUGCGAAGGGGGGACGGAGAAGGCUAUGUUAGCCGGGCGACGGUUGUCCCGGUUUAAGCAUGUAGGCGGAACGAUUAGGUAAAUCCGGUCGUUUUUAACGCUGAGGUGUGAUGACGAGGCACUACGGUGCUGAAGUAACAAAUGCCCUGCUUCCAGGAAAAGCCUCUAAGCAUCAGGUAACAUCAAAUCGUACCCCAAACCGACACAGGUGGUCAGGUAGAGAAUACCAAGGCGCUUGAGAGAACUCGGGUGAAGGAACUAGGCAAAAUGGUGCCGUAACUUCGGGAGAAGGCACGCUGAUAUGUAGGUGAAGCCCCUGCGGGUGGAGCUGAAAUCAGUCGAAGAUACCAGCUGGCUGCAACUGUUUAUUAAAAACACAGCACUGUGCAAACACGAAAGUGGACGUAUACGGUGUGACGCCUGCCCGGUGCCGGAAGGUUAAUUGAUGGGGUUAGCGGCAACGCGAAGCUCUUGAUCGAAGCCCCGGUAAACGGCGGCCGUAACUAUAACGGUCCUAAGGUAGCGAAAUUCCUUGUCGGGUAAGUUCCGACCUGCACGAAUGGCGUAAUGAUGGCCAGGCUGUCUCCACCCGAGACUCAGUGAAAUUGAACUCGCUGUGAAGAUGCAGUGUACCCGCGGCAAGACGGAAAGACCCCGUGAACCUUUACUAUAGCUUGACACUGAACACUGGUCCUUGAUGUGUAGGAUAGGUGGGAGGCUUUGAAGUGUGGACGCCAGUCUGCAUGGAGCCGUCCUUGAAAUACCACCCUUUAAUGGCUGGUGUUCUAACGUAGACCCGUAAUCCGGGUUGCGGACAGUGUCUGGUGGGUAGUUUGACUGGGGCGGUCUCCUCCCAAAGAGUAACGGAGGAGCACGAAGGUUAGCUAAUCCUGGUCGGACAUCAGGAGGUUAGUGCAAUGGCAUAAGCUAGCUUGACUGCGAGAGUGACGGCUCGAGCAGGUGCGAAAGCAGGUCAUAGUGAUCCGGUGGUUCUGAAUGGAAGGGCCAUCGCUCAACGGAUAAAAGGUACUCCGGGGAUAACAGGCUGAUACCGCCCAAGAGUUCAUAUCGACGGCGGUGUUUGGCACCUCGAUGUCGGCUCAUCACAUCCUGGGGCUGAAGUAGGUCCCAAGGGUAUGGCUGUUCGCCAUUUAAAGUGGUACGCGAGCUGGGUUUAGAACGUCGUGAGACAGUUCGGUCCCUAUCUGCCGUGGGCGCUGGAGAAUUGAGGGGGGCUGCUCCUAGUACGAGAGGACCGGAGUGGACGCAUCACUGGUGUUCGGGUUGUCAUGCCAAUGGCACUGCCCGGUAGCUAAAUGCGGAAAAGAUAAGUGCUGAAAGCAUCUAAGCACGAAACUUGCCCCGAGAUGAGUUCUCCCUGAGACUUUAAGUCUCCUGAAGGAACGUUGAAGACGACGACGUUGAUAGGUCGGGUGUGUAAGCGCAGCGAUGCGUUGAGCUAACCGAUACUAAUGAACCGUGAGGCUUAACCUU